AACAAAUGUGCUGUUAUCAGAAUGCGCCCACAGCUUAACUAAUGUGCUGCUAUCAAAAUGCGCCAAUAGGUUCAGCAUAGUACUCAGAUGAAUGGUAGACCUCUUAUACGUUUUUUUUUCAUUUUUCCAAAUUUAUUGAAUGUGUAUUCAAAUUUAAAAUUUGGUUUUGCUUUUUUAUGAUUAUUAGAAUGUUGGGAGUAAUUUUGUGUGUAAAUUACAAACUUGCUUCUCUCUUUUUUUGAGGAAAUUUUAAAGCAGUUUUUUCAAAUUUUCAUAUUUUUUAGGCAACAAUGCUAUGAAAUAAAAGUACGGUUAGAAGGCAGUGAUGUCUAGAGUGGAAGAUAGCACAGGGACCGAGCUUCUGCAUGUACGCAGUCGCUGGGACUACGUGAGAAAAAAGCUUAAAAGAAGAGGCGUGGUUGAAGUGAACAAAGCCCAUCCGCACCAUGAUAUGCUAUGUGCCAUACAAGGAUCUAUUAGGAAACUGCUAACAGAACAUCCUGAGGCUAAAGCUAAGGAUGAACUUCUGUCAGAAGAUUUUAAUCAAAAGAUCAAGUUUAGUGUUACAACAGACACAGGAAAGACUUACCAUUUUGCGAGCUAUGCAAGUCCAGUGUUUGCUUGUGUCCGAUCUGCAGUCAGCAUUAAAGAAGAUGACUUUCUAGAGAGUUUAUCGCCAAAAGAUCUUCCUUAUCUAGAAUUCAUUAGCAAUUCGCGUAGUGGUCAAGACUUCUACUUUAGUAACAAUCAGCGUUUCAUUCUGAAGACAGAUGAGCAGAAAUGUGUUCAUUAUUUCCUAACCAUUUUAAGAGAUUAUUUAGAUCAUUUUCACAACUACCCACACUCACUGUUGGUGAAAUUUCUUGGCUUGUAUUCUAUAAAGAAGCCUCGAUCUAGAAAAAAGUACUUCCUGGUGAUGCAGAGUAUUUUCUAUCCAACAGUGAGACUUGAAGAGAGGUUUGAUAUCAAAGGAUGCCUGGCUAAUAGAUAUCAAAAUGUUUGGCUGUGUUGCUUUGGUACCCUGACCAAGCGGUCUGAAAGUCCACACCCAUCUGGAAAGAAGACAAUCCUUGUUCUGAAAGACCAGAAUUUUAUGGAAGAGGCUUUAAGUCUAGGUAACCAGCGGGACUGGUUCCUAACACAACUGCGGGCAGAUGUGGACUUCUUGUUGACUAUCAAUGUACAAGAUUACAGUUUGUUGCUAGGACGACAUCCACUUCAUGUGAGCGAGAAAAAAGAGUCAGUUGGCAACCUUGUCUUAAGAAUGAAAAAAUCAUUUGGACAUGAGAAAAGUACUCAGCCUUUGAUAGAAGACAAUGAAGAAACUGGUGCUACACAAAAUCAACAACCUGAUGGUGAUACUGCACCUCAUGUGCACGCUGAUGGUACCCCUUUACAUCAGAAUCAAACAGAGACUGUUGAAAUGCAAUCAAUUACUGUAAACCAAGACACUGCAUCUCCAGCAGAGUCACCGCUAAAACAGCCAAGCAUCAAAUCGCCAAAAAAGUCACCUGUUAAGAAUAACGCUGUAUCACCUGCUCAGAAAAGGAAUGUAAGUUUUCUCCGAUCACUGUCUGAUAAAGAUUAUCUGGACUCAACAGGACUGCUAUUUCAUAAUCGAAGGCUGUUGGUAAACAGUGAAAACAGUUUGCAUAUAGUUGAUGGCACAGAUUUACGAUAUUACAUUGGAGUUAUAGAUUUCUUUACGCAGUUUGGAUGUCGACAGAGAAUUGCAAAGUUUUUUAAGGACAUUAAAACAUGCUGCGGUAACCAUUCUACCGAGCCACCACAGGUUUACGCAGAGAGAUUUUAUCAAUUUAUUAGCGAAAGAGUUGUUUGAUAAAUAUUUUGUGAAUAUUGUCAGAAAUAACUUGAAAGCCAUAUUUUCUUGGACUGUUAUACUGUGAAAUCAUUUAAUUUCGUGGGUACAAAAUUUCAUGGUUUUGGUCAAAACGACAAUUUCGUGGGGAUACGAUUUUGUGGAUUUCAAUUUUUGAACAUAAAAUGAAUGGGAGUUUUACUUGUUCGUUGUGAUUAAAUUUCGUGGAUUGACUCAACCAUGAAAUCCAUGAAAAUUAGUCCCCCACGAAUAUUAAUGAUUUCACAGUACCGGGUACUAGAUUUAAGGGACCACGGAUAGAAGUGAUAAAGAAUGCAAUAUUUAUAAUAAAUUUGUGAUACAAAAGCUGUUAAUAAUCUCUAGACAGCCAAGGUGAACUAACUUACGUUAAACAAGGAUAACUUCUGUUUGAUCCAUAAAUAAACAGCAAAUCAGCAACUUUUAAUGGCUGCACGUUGUCAUAGCAACAUAUUUAGAAAGUUUUAACUGCAUCAGCAUUAUAGAUUUUUAAAAUAUAAAGCUUUUAAACAGAUCGGGAAUAUAAUGCACAAUUCUGAACAAAUUACAUUUUUUUUUGUCAGUGGUUUAUUGAAAUAUAGCGUUUCAUAAUAUUUUAUAUAAUUUUUACUGUUUCAAACAGUGACAUUACAAAAAUGAUAAUUUCUUUUGUACGGAACUACACUGGAAUAAGGAAGAGUAUGAAUCAAGGAUAAUGGAAAUUCUUAUCAAAAAUAUACUUCUAAAACAAUGCUGAUGUGUGUGUAUAUACACUAUUAAAGAACAUCUAAGUUAAUUUCCACCAUAUUGAUAUUCAUGAGACAAUUGUAAAUCUUACAGAACAACUUCAGUUUUUCAACAUGAACAUUGUAAAGUCAAGUUGUUGUUCUUGAUGUCAGGUUGCUGCACAUGACAUCAAGUUGUUAUGCUUGAUGUCAGGUUGCUGCAUGUGACAUCAAGUUGUUGUGCUUGACAUCAGGUUGCUGCAUGUGACAUCAAGUUGUUGUGCUUGACAUCAGGUUGCUGCAUGUGACAUCAAGUUGUUAUGCUUGACGUCAGGUUGCUGCAUGUGACAUCAAGUUGUUGUGCUUGACAUCAGGUUGCUGCAUGUGACAUCAAGUUGUUAUGCUUGACAUCAGGUUGCUGCAAUUGACAUCAAGUUGUUAUGCUUGACAUCAGGUUGCUGCAUGUGACAUCAAGUUGUUGUGCUUGACAUCAGGUUGCUGCAUGUGACAUCAAGUUGUUAUGCUUGACAUCAGGUUGCUGCAGGUGACAUCAUAUUGUUGUACUUGACAUCAGGUUGCUGCGUGUGACAUCAGGUUGAUGUGCUUGACGUCAGGUUGCUGCACAUGACAUCAAGUUGUUGUGCUUGACGUCAGGUUGCUGCACAUGACAUCAAGUUGAUGUGCUUGACAUCAGGUUGCUGUGCUUGACGUCAGGUUGCUGCACAUGACAUUAUGUUGUUGUGCUUGACUGUAGUGUGUUUCAUUGUUAUGAUUUGGCAGAAUUUGAUCUUUACAAUAAAACAGACAUGAGCUAAAAAAAUAUUUGUUUUACAUGUAAGAUCAAAAUAUCUUUCACUUGUGAACACAUGAUCUUACAUUUUCAUUUGUUGCGACUCCACUCUGGAAAAUGGUGCAUCUGAUGUUCAUUUUACAAAGGUGUUUUGAUGUUACACCAGAAUAACUAUACAGUGCUCACUCUCUACAACAACACCCUUUGGGAGACAGGAAAGUUGGUUGUUGUUCAGAGGGAGUAAUUGUAGAGAGGUAAAAUAAAGAACAAUUAGCAUAUUUUGGAGUCAGUAGCAAGUGUUGUUGCAAGGAGGGAAUUGUUGUUCAGAGGAUCGCUGUAGAGAGGGAGCACUGUAUUCUAUAUUUAUUAAUUUAUUUCUUCAUUGAUUUAUUUGUAUCUUGGAUUUUGUCAUCUUUGUAGGUAAAUUAUUGUAUAUUUAGCACUUGCUUUUCUGUGUUAAGGUGUAAUCUUUUUUAAAAGGGUUUUUUUUUUUUUCAAAUUUUAUUCGAAAUGUGAAUUUCACAUUUUAAGGUUUCUUACACGGGGUUUUGUGUAUAAAAAAUUUAGUUGUGUUUAAGUUUAAGAAUGACAUCCUUUUAAAUAUAGUACAUUUAUGACAUAUUGUGUAAAAAUGCAUACAUUCCUUUAUAAGAAACAAAAAAAAAUAAUUCUAAAAGGUUUACAUAUGUUUAAUGUUGUUUACAUAUCAUAUAUAUUUCAUACAUAUCAUUUUCUUCUUGGUCAGAAACAUUAUUGUUUUAUAUUACUGGUUUUUACUGGCUUUUUUAUUGUACCCUCAUGAACAACGAAGUUGUAAGGGGGUUAUACUGGUUUCAGGUUGUCUGUCUGUUCGUCCAUCCCUCUGUCUGUCUGUAGACACAAUCUUGUGUGCACCAUCUCUCCUCUUCCCAUUGGCACAA
rnacentral:misc_RNA from 1 species